GCCUCAGUGGUGUAGUGGUGGCAUGCUUCUCCGGUAUGGAUGAAAUGCGGGUUCGAUUUCCGCCUGAGGUA